rnacentral:rRNA from 1 species
CCUACGGGAGGCAGCAGUGGGGAAUUUUGGACAAUGGGCGCAAGCCUGAUCCAGCAGUGCCGCGUGAGUGAAGAAGGCCUUCGGGUUGUAAAGCUCUUUUGUCAGGGAAGAAACGGUGGAGGUUAAUACCUUCUGCUAAUGACGGUACCUGAAGAAUAAGCACCGGCUAACUACGUGCCAGCAGCCGCGGUAAUACGUAGGGUACAAGCGUUAAUCGGAAUUACUGGGCGUAAAGCGUGCGCAGGCGGUUGUGCAAGACAGAUGUGAAAUCCCCGGGCUCAACCUGGGAAUUGCAUUUGUGACUGCACGGCUAGAGUGUGUCAGAGGGGGGUAGAAUUCCACGUGUAGCAGUGAAAUGCGUAGAGAUGUGGAGGAAUACCGAUGGCGAAGGCAGCCCCCUGGGAUAACACUGACGCUCAUGCACGAAAGCGUGGGGAGCAAACAGGAUUAGAUACCCUGGUAGUCCACGCCCUAAACGAUGUCUACUAGUUGUCGGGUCUUAAUUGACUUGGUAACGCAGCUAACGCGUGAAGUAGACCGCCUGGGGAGUACGGUCGCAAGAUUAAAACUCAAAUGAAUUGACGGCUGAGACGNGCGAGACGACGACGAGGGAGAGG